ACGAACGCUGGCGGCGUGCCUAAUACAUGCAAGUUGAGCGCUGAAGGUUGGUACUUGUACCAACUGGAUGAGCAGCGAACGGGUGAGUAACGCGUGGGGAAUCUGCCUUUGAGCGGGGGACAACAUUUGGAAACGAAUGCUAAUACCGCAUAAAAACUUUAAACACAAGUUUUAAGUUUGAAAGAUGCAAUUGCAUCACUCAAAGAUGAUCCCGCGUUGUAUUAGCUAGUUGGUGAGGUAAAGGCUCACCAAGGCGAUGAUACAUAGCCGACCUGAGAGGGUGAUCGGCCACAUUGGGACUGAGACACGGCCCAAACUCCUACGGGAGGCAGCAGUAGGGAAUCUUCGGCAAUGGACGAAAGUCUGACCGAGCAACGCCGCGUGAGUGAAGAAGGGUUUCGGAUCGUAAAACUCUGUUGGUAGAGAAGAACGUUGGUGAGAGUGGAAAGCUCAUCAAGUGACGGUAACUACCCAGAAAGGGACGGCUAACUACGUG
rnacentral:rRNA from 1 species